GAAUGGCACCACGAGGAUAAAACUGUCUCCUUUCCACAAUCAGUGAAACUAAUCUCCUAGUGAAGAAGCAAGGAUAUUACUGUAAGACGAAAAGACCCUAUGGAGCUUAAAACAAAUAACUAAUGCUUCAACCCCCACCCCAGCACUAUAGUUACUAAUUUUUGGUUGGGGUGACCACGGAGAAAAAUUCAUCCUCCACGACGAAUUCUUUAAACAAGCCACAGCUUUAUCUAGCAAUAAAUUGGCGCACUGACCCAAUAACUUGAUCAGCGAACUAAGUUACCCUAGGGAUAACAGCGCAAUCCGCCUCGAGAGCUCUUAUUAACAGGCGG
rnacentral:rRNA from 1 species